rnacentral:rRNA from 1 species
UACGAAGGGAGCUAGCGUUGUUCGGAAUCACUGGGCGUAAAGCGCACGUAGGCGGAUGUGUCAGUCAGGGGUGAAAUCCCGGAGCUCAACUUCGGAACUGCCUUUGAUACAGCACGUCUUGAGUCCGAUAGAGGUGGGUGGAAUUCCCAGUGUAGCGGUGAAAUGCGUAGAUAUUGGGAGGAACACCGGUGGCGAAGGCGGCUACCUGGACCGGUUCUGACGCUGAUGCGCGAAAGCGUGGGUAGCAAACAGG